UCGCCUGUUUAUCAAAAACAUUUUUUUAUGAUUUAAAUUAAAAUAAGCCCUGCUCUAUGAUAUAUAAAUGUAUUAAAUAGCCGCAGUAUACUGACUGUGCAAAGGUAGCAUAAUCAUUUGGUUCUUAAAUGGAAUCUUGUAUGAAGGGGUUAACGAAAAUUAGCUGUCUUAAAAAAAUAUUUUGAAUUUUAAUUUUUUGUAAUAAUGCAAAAAUUUAAUUAAGGGACGAUAAGACCCUAUAAAGCUUUAUUUUAAUUAUAAGCUAGUUUUGCUCACACUAUUUUAUAUUAAUAAAUUUUACUGGGGCGGUAGCUUAUUAAACUAAGUUAAUUUAAUGGUUUGACCCAAUACUAUUGAUCAUAGGAUUAAGUUACUUUAGGGAUAACAGCAUAAUCCACUUAGGGAGUUCAAAUCGAAGAGUGGGAUUGUGACCUCGAUGUUGAAUUAAAAUUUCUUUAGGGUGCAGGAGCUUUAUGAGAUGGUCUGUUCGACCAUUAAAAUUUUACAUGAUCUGAGUUCAAACCGGAG
rnacentral:rRNA from 1 species